rnacentral:rRNA from 1 species
GGUUCAUUCAAAUUUCUACCCUAUCAACUUUCGAUGGUAGGAUAUAGGCCUACCAUGGUUUCAACGGGUAACGGGGAAUUAGGGUUCUAUUCCGGAGAGGGAGCCUGAGAAACGGCUACCACAUCCAAGGAAGGCAGCAGGCGCGCAAAUUACCCAAUCCCGACCGGGGAGGUAGUGACAAUAAAUACUGAUACAGGGGGCUUCUGCUUCUUGUAAUUGGAAUGAGUACAAUUUAAAUCUCUUAACGAGGAACAAUUGGAGGGCAAGUCUGGUGCCAGCAGCCGCGGUAAUUCCAGCUCCAAUAGCGUAUAUUAAAGUUGUUGCAGUUAAAAAGCUCGUAGUUG